rnacentral:rRNA from 1 species
UACAGGGGGUGCAAACGUUGCUCGGAAUUAUUGGGCGUAAAGGGCUCGUAGGCGGCCAACUAAGUCAGACGUGAAAUCCCUCGGCUUAACCGGGGAACUGCGUCUGAUACUGGAUGGCUAGAGGUUGGGAGAGGGAUGCGGAAUUCCAGGUGUAGCGGUGAAAUGCGUAGAUAUCUGGAGGAACACCGGUGGCGAAGGCGGCAUCCUGGACCAAUUCUGACGCUGAGGAGCGAAAGCCAGGGGAGCAAACGGG